rnacentral:rRNA from 1 species
GACGAACGCUGGCGGCGUGCUUAACACAUGCAAGUCGAACGGAAAGGCCCCCUUGUGGGGUACUGGAGGGGCGAAGGGGGGAGUAACACGUGGGUAACCUACCCUUGACUUUGGGGUAACUUCAGGAAACUGGGGCUAAUACCGGCUGGUAGCUCCUCCUGCUGGGUGGGGGUGGUAAGGUUUCGGCGGUGGGGGGGGGAGUCGGGGCUUAUAAGCUGGUUGGUGGGGUGGUGGCGCACCAAGGCUUUGAUGGGGGGCCGGCCUGCGAGGGGGGCCGGCCACAUUGGGACGGAGAUACGGCCCAGACUCCUCCGGGAGGCAGCAGUGGGGAAUAUUGCACAAUGGGCGGAAGCCUGAUGCAGCAACGCCGCGUGCGGGAUGACGGCCUUCGGGUUGUAAACCGCUUUCGCCUGUGACGAAGCGUGAGUGACGGUAAUGGGUAAAGAAGCACCGGCUAACUACGU